rnacentral:rRNA from 1 species
UACGGGAGGCAGCAGUGGGGGAUAUUGCGCAAUGGGGGCAACCCUGACGCAGCAACGCCGCGUGAAGGAUGAAGGUUUUCGGAUUGUAAACUUCUUUUAUCAGGGACGAAGAUUGACGGUACCUGAUGAAUAAGCUCCGGCUAACUACGUGCCAGCAGCCGCGGUAAU